rnacentral:rRNA from 1 species
GACGAACGCUGGCGGCGUGCUUAACACAUGCCAGUCGAGCGGAAAGGCCACUUCGGUGGUACACGAGCGGCGAACGGGUGAGUAACACGUGAGUAAUCUGCCCCUCACUUUGGGAUAGCCACCGGAAACGGUGAUUAAUACCGGAUAUGACCAUAUGUCGCAUGGCGUGUGGUGGAAAGUUUUUCGGUGAGGGAUGUGCUCGCGGCCUAUCAGCUUGAUGGUGAGGUAAUGGCUCACCAUGGCUUCGACGGGUAGCCGGCCUGAGAGGGUGACCGGUCACACUGGGACUGAGACACGGCCCAGACUCCUACGGGAGGCAGCAGUGGGGAAUAUUGGACAAUGGGCGGAAGCCUGAUCCAGCAACGCCGCGUGAGGGAUGACGGCCUUCGGGUUGUAAACCUCUUUCAGUACCGACGAAGCGCAAGUGACGGUAGGUACAGAAGAAGCACCGGCCAACUACGUG